rnacentral:misc_RNA from 1 species
UGGGCUUGACAUGGUGCUGCAAGCGCACGGAAACGUGUGACCUUCGAGGGUGCACCACAGAUGCUGCAUGGCUGUCGUCAGCUCGUGUCGUGAGAUGUUGGGUUAAGUCCCGCAACGAGCGCAACCCUCGUCCUAUGUUGCCAGCACGCCCUUCGGGGUGGUGGGGACUCAUAGGAGACUGCCGGGGUCAACUCGGAGGAAGGUGGGGAUGACGUGCCUUACAGCGUAC